UGCCCGGUAGUGUAACGGUAACACACCGGCCUUUGGAGCCGAUGUUCGAGGUUCAAAUCCUCGCCGGGCAA
rnacentral:tRNA from 1 species